rnacentral:rRNA from 1 species
UAAACCAAAUGGGAUAUCUUUAGUAAUUGCGAAUGAACAAGGAUAUGCUUAGCUUGACAAAUGGAGCUAUUGGCUUUGAAUUGUAUUGUGGAAAUGUAUUACCAACAGAGGUGCAGGUGCCAGCCUAUUGAAAUAAAGCGUCAAUGAGGGUGAGAAUCCUGUUUGUCAUGUGCAGCCCUUUGUGCACGGUGUAUAUUUGCUGAGUCACACUCCUUGGCAUUGGAAUGCAAAGUGGGUGGUAAGUUUCAUGUAAAGGUAAACAUGCAAUUGAGACUGAUAGCACACAAGUACCAUGAGGGAAAUAUGAAAAGGACUUUGAAAAGAAAAUUAAAUGAGUUUGUAUUUGCUGAACACAAAGUAAACAGACUUGAUUUGCUUGGUGGGAGUGUUGCACUUGCUUGACAAGAGCUUUGGGCUGUGGGUGUAAUGAUUCUUUCUUUGCAUGCCAGUUUCUAUUUGUACAUCUGAUUACCUUUGCACAUGAAUGAUAAGUCUCCUGUGGGGGGUGGAUUGCAUGUGCAUGUAAUGAUUUGUGUUUUGAUAAAUGUGUCUGGUGUAUGUGUGUGUGUUCCUGUGCUUGGGGAUGCUUCCUUCCUUGGACUUACAAGCCCUGACACACACAUGCUGGCAAAAUGCUUCUGCUUGACCCGUCUUGAAACACGGACCAAGGAGUCUAACAGAUGUGCAAAGUUUGAAGGUGGUAUACCUUUGUGUGCAAUGAAAGUGUCAGCUGGGAUAUGUGCACCAGCACCCAAUUAAUUAGCGGACAGAGGUUUGAGUUGGAGCAUAUCUAUUAGGACCCGAAAGAUGGUGAACUAUGCCUGAACAGAAUGAAUUCAGAGGAAACUCUGAUGGAGGUUCGUAUCGAUACUGACGUGCAAAUCGUUCGUCAUAUUUGGGUAUAGGGGCGAAAGACUAAUCGAACCAUCUAGUAGCUGGUUCCC